UUGCUUUUCUGCUAUUGUAGAUGGCAAUUUUGGUGUAUUUCCUUGCUGAAACCUGCCAAACAGUGAUUGUUGCUUCGGCUGUUUAUCUUGCACGUUGUACCCUCAGCAAGAGAGCCCUUAUGAACCAAAAUACUGAGUACUCUCGGAGAAUCAACUAAGGUAAUAUAUUCUUAUGUAUGGAGUUUCAACUAACCUUAGAUAUAAUUACUAGAAUUUGGAGCGACUCAUUCUAGUAAAAUUAAAUUAUUAAAUGUGAUGAUAAUAAGAACAUAGUAAAAUCUCAUUAUUGUUCUGUUCCUUGGGUGUGCAUCAUUUCUUUUAGGUGUAUUUCCUUGCUGAAACCUGCCAAACAGUGAUUGUUGCUUCGGCUGUUUAUCUUGCACGUUGUACCCUCAACAAGAGAGCCCUUAUGAACCAAAAUACUGAGUACUCUCGUAGAAUCAACUAAGGUAAUAUAUUCUUAUGUAUGGAGUUUCAACUAACCUUAGAUAUAAUUACUAGAAUUUGGAGCGACUCAUUCUAGUAAAAUUAAAUUAUUAAAUGUGAUGAUAAUAAGAACAUUGAUGAGGAUUUAUUUAUUUUUUCCUGUUAGUAAAAUCUCAUUAUUGUUUUGUUCCUUGGGUGUGCAUCAUUUCUUUUAGUAAAUGCUGUCCUCUUACUUUGGAUUCUUGUAUGGGAAAUUGUUAACUUCUGAUUUCAUUUCAGUCCGAUACUUUAUUAGAAAGUAUUGGAUGUUUGUGUUGAUUACAGGUCAAAAGUCUCUUUUUAUAUAUUAUGAAGUUUUCAGUUUUUAAGGUUCAACUUGAAUUAACAAAUUUUUUUUAAAGUCCCAAAUUGAUAUGUAUUGCUUUUCUGCUAUUGUAGAUGGCUAUUUUGGUGUAUUUCCUUGCUGAAACCUGCCAAACAGUGAUUGUUGCUUCGGCUGUUUAUCUUGCACGAUGUACCCUCAACAAGAGAGCCCUUAUGAACCAAAAUACUGAGUACUCUCGGAGAAUCAACUAAGGUAAUAUAUUCUUUUGUAUGGAGUUUCAACUAACCUUGGACAUAAUUAGUAGAAUUUGGAGCGACUCAUUUUUGUAAAAUGAAAUUAUUAAAUGUGAUGAUAAUAAGAACAUUGAUGAGGAUUUAUUUAUUUUUCCUGUUAGUAAAAUCUCAUUAUUGUUCUGUUCCUUGGGUGUGCAUCAUUUCUUUUAGUAAAUGUUGUCCUCUUACUUUGGAUUCUUGUAUGGGAAAUUGUUGACCUCUGAUUUCAUUUCAGUCCGAUACUUUAUAAGAAAGUAUUGGAUGUUUGUGUUGAUUACAGGUAGAAAGUCUUUUUUUUGUUGACAUUUAUAAUAUUACCUAGCUUACAUCAAUUUAAUGGAGAAAUUGAGUUUUCCAUUAUUUUUUCUUGAAAUCUUUAAAGGUGUUAAUAGUUCGCACACCAUAAAUAAUCUCUUUAUAUAUAUGAAGUUUUUAGUUUUUAAGGUUCAACUUGAAUAAGCAAAUUUUUUUAAAAGUCCCAAAUUGAUAUGUAUUGCUUUUCUGCUAUUGUAGAUGGCAAUUUUGGUGUAUUUCCUUGCUGAAACUUGCCAAACAGUGAUUGUUUCUUCGGCUGUUUAUCUUGCACGUUGUACCCUCAACAAGAGAGCCCUUAUGAACUAAAAUACUGAGUACUCUCGGAGAAUCAACUAAGGUAAUAUAUUCUUUUGUAUGGAGUUUCAACUAAGCUCAGAUAUAAUUACUAGAAUUUGGAGCAACUCAUUUUAGUAAAAUGAAAUUAUUAAAUGUGAUGAUAAUAAGAACAUUGAUGAGGAUUUAUUUAUUUUUCCUGCUAGUAAAAUCUCAUUAUUGUUCUGUUCCUUGGGUGUGCAUCAUUUCUUUUAGUAAAUGCUGUCCUCUUACUUUGGAUUCUUGUAUGGGAAAUUGUUGACUUCUGAUUUCAUUUCAGUUUGAUACUUUAUAAGAAAGUAUUGGAUGUUUGUGUUGAUUAUAGGUAGAAAGUCUUUUUUUUUGUUGACAAUUAUAAUAUUGCCUUGCUUACAUCAAUUUAAUGGAGAAAUUGAGUUUUCCAUCAUUUUUUCUUGAAAUCUUGAAAGGUUUUAACAGUUCGCACACCAUAAAUAAUCUCUUUUUAUAUAUGAAGUUUUCAGUUUUUAAGGUUCAACUUGAAUAAACAAUUUUUUUUAAAAGUCCCAAAUUGAUAUGUAUUGCUUUUCUGCUAUUGUAGAUGGCAAUUUUGGUGUAUUUCCUUGCUGAAACCUGCCAAACAGUGAUUGUUGCUUCGGCUGUUUAUCUUGCACGUUGUACCCUCAACAAGAGAGCCCUUAUGAACCAAAAUACUGAGUACUCUCGGAGAAUCAACUAAG
rnacentral:lncRNA from 1 species